UGCUUGCCUUGGCAGCACAAUACUAAAAUUGCAAUGAUACAAAGAUUAUCAUGGUCCCUAUGCAAGGAUGACACACACAUUUGUGAAGCAUUCCAUAUUUUU